AAGAAUAGUAAUCAAACGGGAGGACAAAGGGAGAGACAGUACUGCAAAUGUAUCUUCGUGGAACCCUACAGCUUAGAUUGGAGAUGACAUUGUCCAACAUAUUUGAUAAUGUAUUUGUUGAGAUAGAAGCAAGCUGAAAGCAAUGGAUCUUCGAUGCUUCACUUCUUUCCCACUAUCCAUACUGGAUGGUCUUGAUGGAUGCAAGAUCAGUUAUUGCUAAGUUGGCAGCCAUUUCGUAAGCUUAAGUGAUAUGUGCUGAAAAACUUUGUUGGAAGAUUUCGGAUCACCCAGUUGGAGAUUUCGGAUAUAAACAUCCCGUUAUCCGAUUGUGUUAAUUUCGGGUUAAUUUCUUGUUAUGACCCGACCCGAAUUCUAUUUGUACUUCUCUUUUUUCCUAAUAUAGAGAUUUCUC